AGUGAACGCUGGCGGUAGGCCUAACACAUGCAAGUCGAACGGCAGCACAGUAUGAGCUUGCUCUUACGGGUGGCGAGUGGCGGACGGGUGAGGAAUACAUCGGAAUCUACUUUUUCGUGGGGGAUAACGUAGGGAAACUUACGCUAAUACCGCAUACGACCUACGGGUGAAAGCAGGGGAUCUUCGGACCUUGCGCGAUUGAAUGAGCCGAUGUCGGAUUAGCUAGUUGGCGGGGUAAAGGCCCACCAAGGCGACGACCCGUAGCUGGUCUGAGAGGAUGAUCAGCCACACUGGAACUGAGACACGGUCCAGACUCCUACGGGAGGCAGCAGUGGGGAAUAUUGGACAAUGGGCGCAAGCCUGAUCCAGCCAUACCGCGUGGGUGAAGAAGGCCUUCGGGUUGUAAAGCCCUUUUGUUGGGAAAGAAAAGCAGCAGGUUAAUACCCCGCUGUUCUGACGGUACCCAAAGAAUAAGCACCGGCUAACUUCGUG
rnacentral:rRNA from 1 species